UUCAGCAUGAUGAUCGUAAUAAUAUAUUAAAAAAUCAUUGAGAUCAAAAGGAAUAGAUAUCAUUCAAACAUGAAGAUGUUAAAUAAUUAAAAACAGAAAAUGGAAAAAUAAAAUAAUAUAAAUAUAUAUAGAAAAAAAAAAAAAAUAAAGAAUGAAAGAA